rnacentral:rRNA from 1 species
CCCUUAGAUGUCCUGGGCCGCACGCGCGCUACACUGAGUGUCUGAGAUACGAGUCUGCCUGGUCCGGCAAGGUCUAGGUAAUCGCUAAAAGACACAUCAUGCUUGGGAUAGAUUAUUGCAAAUAUUAAUCUUGAACGAGGAAUGCCUAGUAAGCGCAAGUCAUCAGCUUGCGUUGAUUACGUCCCUGCCCUUUGUACACACCGCCCGUCGCUCCUACCGAUUGAAUGGUCCGGUGAAGCGUUCGGACCGUGGCCUUUGGACGGUUCGCCGUCUGUUGGCUGCGGGAAGUUCGUUAAACCUUAUCAUUUAGAGGAAGGAGAAGUCGUAACA